CGUGUUUUAGUAGUGACUACUGUGUACCAGGGGCUUCGAGUAUUUACGACAUUAGGAGCGUAAUACACUUGAGUCACUUGACUUGUUAACACGUACACGUCAUCAGAAUUUAACACCGACUUGAUAUCCACGGUUGUGAUUCUAUUACGAUCAACUUUAACCCCCUUUUCAGUAUCAAACCAGCUACACUUAAAUGUAACUAUCUUUUUGCCGCCAUGAUAAUUGAGCACAACUACAUCCUG
rnacentral:lncRNA from 1 species